AUUGAACGCUGGCGGAAUGCCUAACACAUGCAAGUCGAGCGGGGUAGCAAUACCCAGCGGCGGACGGGUGAGGAAUACAUAGGAAUUUGCCAUUAGGUGGGGGAUAGCUUGGGGAAACUCAAGGUAAUACCGCAUGAUCUCGCCAGAGCAAAGUGGGGGACCGCAAGGCCUCACGCCAUUAGAGAAGCCUAUGUCUGAUUAGCUUGUUGGGGAGGUAACGGCUCACCAAGGCGACGAUCAGUAACUGGUCUGAGAGGACGAUCAGUCACACCGGAACUGAGACACGUCCCGGAAUCCUACGGGAGGCAGCAGUGGGGAAUAUUGGACAAUGGGCGCAAGCCUGAUCCAGCAAUUCCGCGUGUGUGAAGAAGGCCUUCGGGUUGUAAAGCACUUUAGGUUGGGAAGAAAAAGCUUCGGCGAAUAUCCGGAGUGUUGACGGUACCAACAGAAUAAGCACCGGCUAACUCUGUGCCAGCCGCCGCAGUAA
rnacentral:rRNA from 1 species